CUACGGGCUGCACCAGUGAGGAAUAUUGGGCAAUGGAGGAAACUCUGACCCAGCCAUGCCGCGUGCAGGAAGACGGCCCUAUGGGUUGUAAACUGCUUUUGUACGAGAAUAAACCUUUCCACGUGUGGAAAGCUGAAGGUACCGUACGAAUAAGGAUCGGCUAACUCCGUGCCAGCAGCCGCGGUAAUACGGAGGAUCCAAGCGUUAUCCGGAUUUAUUGGGUUUAAAGGGUCCGUAGGCGGGUUUUUAAGUCAGUGGUGAAAGCCUACAGCUCAACUGUAGAAUUGCCAUUGAUACUGGAGACCUUGAGUGUAGUAGAAGUAGGCGGAAUAAGGCAUGUAGCGGUGAAAUGCAUAGAUAUGCCUUAGAACACCGAUUGCGAAGGCAGCUUACUAUGUUACAACUGACGCUGAGGGACGAAAGCGUGGGGAGCGAACAGGAUUAGAUACCCGGGUAGUC
rnacentral:rRNA from 1 species